AGAAUCAACGCUGGCGGCGUGCCUAACACAUGCAAGUCGCACGAGAAAGGGGAGCAAUCCCUGAGUAAAGUGGCGCACGGGUGAGUAACACGUGAAUAAUCUACCUCCGAGUGGGGAAUAACUGAGAGAAAUCUUAGCUAAUACCGCAUAACACUUACGAGUCAAAGCAGCAAUGCGCUUGGAGAGGAGUUCGCGGCAGAUUAGUUAGUUGGCGGGUAAUGGCCCACCAAGACGAUGAUCUGUA
rnacentral:rRNA from 1 species